rnacentral:rRNA from 1 species
UACGGAGGGUUCAAGCGUUAUCCGGAUUCACUGGGUUUAAAGGGUGCGUAGGUGGGUUGGUAAGUCAGUGGUGAAAUCCCCGAGCUUAACUUGGGAACUGCCAUUGAUACUAUCAAUCUUGAAUACCGUGGAGGUCAGCGGAAUAUGUCAUGUAGCGGUGAAAUGCUUAGAUAUGACAUAGAACACCAAUUGCGAAGGCAGCUGGCUACACGAAUAUUGACACUGAGGCACGAAAGCGUGGGGAUCAAACAGG